rnacentral:rRNA from 1 species
CUAAGCUUGACAUCCUUUUGACCGAUGCCUAAUCGCAUCUUUCCCUUCGGGGACAGAGGUGACAGGUGGUGCAUGGUUGUCGUCAGCUCGUGUCGUGAGAUGUUGGGUUAAGUCCCGCAACGAGCGCAACCCUUGCCUUUAGUUGCCAGCAUUAAGUUGGGCACUCUAGAGGGACUGCCAGGGAUAACCUGGAGGAAGGUGGGGAUGACGUCAAAUCAUCAUGCCCCUUAUGCUUAGGGCUACACACGUGCUACAAUGGGUGGUACAGAGGGCAGCCAAGUCGUGAGGCGGAGCUAAUCCCUUAAAGCCAUUCUCAGUUCGGAUUGUAGGCUGAAACUCGCCUACAUGAAGCUGGAGUUACUAGUAAUCGCAGAUCAGAAUGCUGCGGUGAAUGCGUUCCC